AAAGCGUCUGACUUGAACGGCUCCGACGAUGAGGAACGAAGGCUAGGGGAGCAAACCGGAUUAGAUACCCGGGUAGUCCUAGCUGUAAACUCUGCCCGCUUGGUGUGGCCUGUCCUUCGGGGGCAGGCUGUGCCGGAGCGAAGGUGUUAAGCGGGCUGCUUGGGGAGUACGGCCGCAAGGUUGAAACUUAAAGGAAUUGGCGGGGGAGCACCGCAACGGGAGGAUGCGUGCGGUUUAAUUGGAUUCAACGCCGGAAAACUCACCUGAGGAGACCAGCGUAUGUGGGUCAAGCCGAAGACUUUACCCGAACAACAGCUGGAGAGGUGGUGCAUGGCCAUCGUCAGCUCGUACCGUAGGGCAUUCACUUAAGUGUGAUAACGAGCGAGACCCCCAUCCCUAGUUGCUAACCCCUCCGAAAGGAGAGGUGCACUCUAGGGAGACCGCUUCCGCUAAGGAAGAGGAAGGAGGGGUCGACGGUAGGUCAGUAUGCCCCGAAUCCUCAGGGCAACACGCGCGCUACAAAGGACAGGACAAUGGGUUCCAACCCCGAAAGGGGAAGGUAAUCCCGAAACCUGUUCGUAGUCCGGAUUGAGGGCUGUAACUCGCCCUCAUGAAGGUGGAUUCCGUAGUAAUCGCGGAUCAACAGUCCGCGGUGAAUAUGCCCCUGCUCCUUGCACACACCGCCCGUCA
rnacentral:rRNA from 1 species